GGUAACAGGAAGUUGCCGCUCCGCCGUGCACUGAAAUCCGAGGCCACGCCCGCGUUGAGCUUCUAUACCACUCUUGUUUUCAGAAGCGACCUGCCCACAACAACAACAACAAGCCCGUGUGAUGAAUUUGGGACACUUUUUCACUAUAUCAUGAAUAUAUGAAUAAGUAUCCAGAAGAACCUCGGAGAUCGAAUGCACCCGAACUCGAACAAAUCGGUGUUCAAACGUUAUUUCCGAACAUUUUUUGCCCCGGAAACCAAACGAAAUUUGGAGGUCGAACGGGCCAUCGCGACUUGAAAGAACCUGUACGGCUGAGACGCGUGUGGCGAGCAGCGUGCAUGACGCUUGCCCAGACUAAGGUUUUACCACCUCCUCACCACCUUCCACUCAAGCCAUCAACUCUCCUUACUACAGCUGUCGCUUCCUCUGUCGCUUCCUCUGCAGAAUUGGUCUGAUGGAGC